AUGAACAUUGGGUUCCACACUCAGCUCCUGGUAUUCCUGCUGCUCUGGUUCCCAGGUGGCAGAUGUGACAUCCAAAUGACACAAACUCCAUCCUACUUGUCUGCAUCUUUGGGAGACAGAGUCAGCAUCACUUGCAAAUCUAGUGAGGACAUUUAUCCUGCAUUAUCAUGGUAUCAGAAGAAAACAGAGAAAUCUGCUAAGCUCCUGAUCUAUGCUGCAAACAGCUUGGUAGAGGGAGUCCCAUCUAGGUUCAGUGGCAAGGUGUCUGGGACACAGUAUUCUCUCACAAUCAGCAGCCUGGAGGCCGAUGAUUCUGGCACUUAUUUCUGUCAGCAAGGUUAUAAUAUUCCUCCUACAUGUUAUGACAUAAACCAUUCAGAGAAGCAGAAGAGUAAGGAUGAGCUGCUUCACCUGCUCCUCCUGGUGUCUGCAUUAGCUGAGAAUGUUUGCCUGUCUCUGAAGGACACUGGGGAGUGGUUAUUAUAA